AAGGGCGCUCAGCUAUGGGAUGGAAGCAGGGGCGCCAUGGAGGUUGCUGCCGCUGCUUGGUGUUUUGGAGGGUGGGCUGCUGUGCGCCAUGGAAAUUGCAAAGGGGAACUCGACGGGGUGGCUGGGACAGCAGGCAUGGUGUUGUGCUGCGCGUGGCUGGCUGCUGGCCGGAAAGCCGGGUAUCGGCCAUGGGCGACGGCGGCCUCACCUGCUCGAGCUUGGAUCAGAGGGUGUGCCGCACCAUGGCUGGAACAGAGGGGAGGACGGGCACCGUGCACAGGGAUGGAUGGCGGGCGCGCUGGGCACGUCACCGAGGUGCGACGGAGAAGCUCGACGCCAUGGGGAGGAGAUAGCAGGGGCGCUGGUCUGGAGAUGGGACCUCGCUGGAUUUUUUUUUUUUUUGGGCAGGGAGCGGGGAAACAGGGAGCUCGGCCAUGGCGCUGCUGGGGGAUGGGUGCCGCUGGAGAGGGGACCCGGCGUAGGGAGCUCGGCGUCCGAGCAGAGGGGACCUGCAGACCGGGCUUGCAGAGCUCAACUGGGUGCGGCGUUGAGGAGCAGCGGCUGGAGCAAAAGGGAAGGCGCUCAAGGAGAGGAGCCAUGGACGGUCCUGGAGCUGAAGCGUCGCUGGGGAAGAAGACCCCCUGCUGCAGCCGCUCGCCAAAGGAGGAGCAGGGAGCUCGGCGGC
rnacentral:misc_RNA from 1 species